CUUAUUUAUGGCUUUAAUGUCCUAUAAUUUUGCAUUGAUUUCCAUUUACCUUUCCGAUUUAUAGCUCAAGGGUUAGCCAUUUCAUUCCUUACUAGGCUUUUACUUUUACAUCUAAACUCAACAUAAACGAGUAGGGACGUUUGUGAAACGCUUCGUACGCGUCACAGCGCAGUUCCGUAGAGAACGGAUAUAUCUAUUAGAUCCCCGAAUUACGAUCAGAUGUCCAUCCAGCAGUAAUUUUUAUUUUUUGCUCAUUCUCGUUCGCGCACUCUUCCACAAGCGGUGUGUGGUACUUGGGAAAGGAAGGCAGGGAAAGGGAGGAAGUGAAAUAAAUGUAAAUGACAAAUGUAGGAAAAAUUUAAAAUUUGAAAUUCGAAAAAAACAAAUUUAAAUACAUGUGAUGUAUGUAC
rnacentral:lncRNA from 1 species